rnacentral:tRNA from 1 species
GAGGGUAGAGCUCAGUGGUAGAGAGCAUGCUUAGCAUGCACAAGGUCCUGGGUUCAAUCCCCAGUACUCCA